CACACACAGAUACGGAUUCAAAGAGACAUGCACACUCUGAGUUUCUGAGAGUAAGCCACUGUCAGUUCCUGGGGUGAGCCACCAGCCACAUGGACACAAUUUCCUCUUUUUGAUGGAAACGUUUUCUUCCAAAUUGUGCUGCACGUUUUUGGCGAGAGCAUGGGGCUGUGCGGCGUCCCCUCCCUGGCGCCCACCUGUGCCCUGCACACUGGCCUGCACUGUGGUGAUCUCGCUUGGCCCCCACCUGAUUCCCGACAUACAGCAGAGGAACCUUAGGCUCAGGUGGAACAGCCUCAACUGAUUCUGUCCCUGAACUUCCGUACACAGCCCUGGAGUCGUCUUAGAGCCAUGAUUUAUUUAACUGUUCUUUCAUUUUACAGAACAUAAAAUGUAUUGUUUCCAACUUUUUUCCUAUGGUAAAUAAUACUAAAGUAAAUAUCUCUGUGCAUGAAUCUUUUUGUAUAUGUUGGAAUAUCCUUAAGAUAAGGCCCCAGAACUAAAAGUACCCUGUCAAAAGGUGAGCAUUUCCGGUUCCCCUGCUGUGCUUUGCUGCGUUGUUCUCUCCUGCUGCAACGUUCUCACUCCACAAUCCUGGGGCAGGGAGGGGAGGCCCAGCUGAGUUUGGAUCAUAAUCCUGAAAGACACAAUCCCAAGCACCAUAAUGUGGAAUGUUGAAAUCCCUAAAGAUCAAAAUCCCUCAAGUCUAAAAUCCCUGAUAUUUCAGAUGACCACAGCUACAGGGCUAGGUGCACACAAUUAGUAACCGUAGCGAUAUACGUGUACACGUUUCUCUUUUGACUUAUUUCUUUAUGGUCUGUCUUCUUAUAACUGCUACACCCAUGCCGCCGUCGUUAGUUACCUCAGUGUUUAUGCAAAAAUACCUGUUAUCAUUGCCUAUUUUAUUGUGUAAAGUGGCCUAUGAAAUGUUCUGUUGUGUUUUUAUGUUUCUCAAAUACAUACCUUUUAAAAAUGUAAAUAAAUAACAUCGACAUUA
rnacentral:lncRNA from 1 species